rnacentral:piRNA from 1 species
CCUUGUCAGAGAAUUCUUCAGGUAGCA